rnacentral:misc_RNA from 1 species
GGUGAGCCGGCAUGAGGUUGCAAGACCGGAACAACCAGUCCUUCUGGCAGAGUCCUGCCAAUCCAAAGUGUCUGGGAGCCUAAAUCGUAUACUAGUAGUUUGCGUGAUGACCAUGACUGGAGAGUGGGCGGCGGCUGCCAACCGCAGACUGGGCGUAUAUAGUAAGCCUUGACCCACCCAUGGAAAACACGUAUUUACGAACGGUACGACAUGGUAACUGGAUACACUUAACCCUGGGGCAAGUAGAUGUUAGGAAACUAGCAUCGGGCCGCCCACGAGGGUUUCUGAACUCAACGGAGUAGAACGGGGGGGGGUAAUGCCCCUCUCUUCCGGCCC